rnacentral:rRNA from 1 species
UACGAAGGGGGCUAGCGUUGCUCGGAAUGACUGGGCGUAAAGGGCGCGUAGGCGGCUUGCACAGUCAGGCGUGAAAUUCCUGGGCUCAACCUGGGGACUGCGCUUGAGACGUGUGGGCUUGAGUGGGGAAGAGGGUCGUGGAAUUCCCAGUGUAGAGGUGAAACUCGUAGAUAUUGGGAAGAACACCGGUGGCGAAGGCGGCGACCUGGUCCUUGACUGACGCUGAGGCGCGAAAGCGUGGGGAGCAAACAGG